rnacentral:lncRNA from 1 species
GCGCGGGAGCUCAGCUCCUCCCUCACGGCCCCCGGCGAAGCGGGAGGCGGGAAACGGCCGCCGCCGCCGCCGCCGCCACCCUCCCGAGCCCUCUCCCGGUGCCGUGUCGCCCGGGCGCCGCGCCCCUCUGCGUCCCGCUGACCUGUCAGUCCACCUCACGGCGGGAGCCGGCGGGGGCUGAGCCGGGACUCGUCAGCACCGCUGCCCCUCUCAGGCCCGGGAGCCCGCGUACCUGGCAGUCAGUCUUUCCGCAGCGCCGAGGAGAAAUGGCUUGAGAAAGACAUGUUGAAGAGGAAAAAUACGUUAAGCACAGAGAUUUCUUAAUUGCUUGAAGUACAGGCCCAGGCAUAGAAUUGGAUUUGGUUACCACUUGCCAACUGUCUUAGAAUCUGAAGACUCCAGCUCUAGUUCCCGACUCUGACACCUACUAGCUCUGCAACUUUACGGAAACCACUUACCUCUCUGAGCCUCAGUUUCCUCCUCUGUGAAAUGGGCUGGUAAUAUCUAUGGCAUAAACACUUCAUUGAUGGUAUGGGACCAGCUGAGGCUACAAGUGUAAAAAUAUUGUUUGAAAAUGUUAAUUGCUAUUUGAUUAUAAGGACAUAGUCUUAUUAAUAUGAUCAAAUCUCUUGCUAGCUUAUUGGUUUUCAUAGUAGGAGAUGUCACUUGCUGUGCGAUCUUGGACAAGUCACUGAACUCCUCUGAGCUGCACUCGUCUCCCCUGUAACAUGGGGAGUGUAGACUUGAUUACUUAAAUCUCCCGACAUCGUACAAGUCUAUGCUGAUGCCGAGCUUUCCUUGAAAACUGGAAAAAGCACAGGCUUUGAAGUGUGAUGGACUGGGGUUAAUCCCCUGCUUCACAGCUUGCUUUCUUUUUGUCUCUCUGUACCCAUAAGGAUUAUCUCAGAAUGAUCUGGGUAUUUUUGAAAAGUAACAGCAGCUUGGCUGAAAGACAAUUUUGUCCAUAAUAAGACAUCAGCUGUGAGCAGAGUUCUGCAGUGGCAGAAAACGGAUCAGGCAGAGAUUCAGGUUAUAAUUUCCAAACUCCAGUGGCCCACUUGGUAGAACCAGUUUGCAUUUGUAUGUUGAAUUUUUGUUGACUAAAUAACAGUGAUCCAAGAGCUGAGAUGGUUUAUUGGUCCUCUUGGGGAGGGCUGUAUUGCUGUCAAGGUGUGGAUAAAGCAUUUCAGGCAGGCCUGCCGCUGGCCCCUGGCCCAGUGGUGUACAGCUGUGUCAAUAGGCCUUUGAAGUCCACGCACACCAGCUGACUGGUCAGCAGCCCCUGGGAUGGUCUCUACAACCUUCGUCACAGGAAAUUGGGAAAGGCAUGUGGAAGCUAGCAUUGCUGGAAGGGGAGGAGAAGAAAACUGUUGGGAUCUUUGAUGAAAACAUGGGAGAAAUUUACCAAAAUUCACAGGCUGAGCCCAUCAGCAGGAUCUGGGAUUGUUGAUCACUGCUCUCCUUCUUUCUGGCUCCAGAUCAAUGUGAUGAGCUGGUUUAUCUUUAUUCUGACUCGAAUAUGUGCCAGCUAGCGCUUCUGUGAGGCCUCAGUAUAGUGAUAGUAUGCUGGAGGCGCUGGUGGUGCUGCAAGAUUCACAGAGAGCUUCUGAAUCAUUAAAACGUGAACAACCCCUGUUCAGAAGAAUUUUAAUGCAAAAUAUUUUUCAUUUUUAUUUUUUCGUCUUUUCUGAUAUUCUACAUUCUGGGGCACUGGCCUCUUCCCUGCCCCAGGAUUUUCCCCAUGUGCAGGUGCUUCAUCAUCACAUGAUCUCAUUUAAUCUUCACAACAUCCCUGAGGUAUGUUGUCUUCAAUCCCCCUUUGGCAAAAGAGGAAAUGGAAGCUCUGGUUAAAACUUGGUGAAGAUAACACAGCUUAGCAGGAAACCCUGAGCUGUCUGACUCUCAAGCCUGUGUUGGGAAAUCCUGCCCUGUGCUGCCUCUUGUUGCAGAGAUCCUAUCUGGAUAAAGUGCUGGGUAACCAGGAAUCAGAACCUCUGGAGGACGAGUAUGACUUCUUUUCUGUCCCUGCUGCUCGAGUUCAAACCCUCACCAUCCUCUCCUCCUCUUCCCUGUUCUUGCUCUGUACCUCCACUCCGUCACUGAGUCUUGACACUUUGGCCCAGUGUCCCCCCUUGCACCCCUGCCUUUUCAUUCUUACCCUUGUUGCCACACACCUGGGGCACUGCCGUAGCUGGCAGCUCCCUUUCUCACCAGUCUUUCCCUUUUCCAUCUUUUCCACUAACCCUGCCAGACUCAUCUUCCUUUAACACUGCUUUGUCCUAUUUCAUUAAAAAUAUCCCAGGGACUCAUGAGAUAAAGUCAAGACUCAGUGCUUGACCUGACACAGCCCCCAGUCCCCCCAGGUAGACCUCAAAGCUUCUACAUUCGUUCUUUUUCACGCUGCUGAUAAAGACAGACUUGAGACUGGGCAAUUUACGAAAGAAAGAGGUUUGUUGGACUUAUGGUUCCAUAUGGCUGGGGAGACCUCACAAUCACAGUGGAAGGCAAGGAGGAGCAAGUCAUGUCUUACAUGGAUGGCAGCAGGCAAAACAGUUUGUGCAGAGAAACUCCCAUUUUUAAAACCAUCAGAUCUUGUGAGACCCAUUCACUAUCAUGAGAACAGCAUGGGAAAGACCCAUCCCCAUGAUUCAAUCACCUCCCACCAGUUCCUCCCAUGACAUAUGGGAAUUAUAGGAAUUGUGGGAGUUACAAUUCAAGAUGAGAUUUGGGUGGGGACACAGUCAAAACAUAUCAACUCCUUUCCAGCCUUGCCCAUCACUUCCUGCAAUAACUUGAUGUUGCCUGGGAUUUUCUGACUUCAGCAUCUUUGCUCAUGAGGUAUCUUCUACCUAGAAUGUGACCUUCCCACCCAACCUCCCCUCUGCUAAAAAUCUCAUCAUGGUCUGCCUGAAGUGGCCUGUCUUUAAUGAAGCUUUCUCCAGUCACCUUGCAGGAAUGAUCCCCCCACCUUGAACACUUUGAAACACUUAAACAGUACUUCUCAUAUGUUGCUUCACUGUAAUUAUUUGAGUGCCAACAUUUCCUCCCUAUAUACCAAUGUGAUGAUGGAACCCAUGUGUGUGUAUCCCCCACUGUGGUCAUUAGCAUAGUGCCUUAUAUGUAGUGGUCCCUUUGUUGCAUGUAAACUAAUGAACAGUGAAAAGCAAAUAAUAAGAAAUAAAUCAUUUAUUGUUUCCCA